rnacentral:rRNA from 1 species
GUGGGGAAUAUUGGACAAUGGGCGCAAGCCUGAUCCAGCAAUGCCGCGUGAGUGAUGAAGGCCUUAGGGUUGUAAAGCUCUUUCGGCGGGGACGAUGAUGACGGUACCCGCAGAAGAAGCCCCGGCUAACUUCGUGCCAGCAGCCGCGGUAAUACGAAGGGGGCAAGCGUUGUUCGGAAUUACUGGGCGUAAAGGGCGCGCAGGCGGUCCUUCAAGUCAGGCGUGAAAGCCCCGGGCUCAACCUGGGAAUUGCGCUUGAGACUGGGGGACUCGAGGACGGGAGAGGAGAGUGGAAUUCCCAGUGUAGAGGUGAAAUUCGUAGAUAUUGGGAAGAACACCGAUGGCGAAGGCAGCUCUCUGGACCGUUUCUGACGCUGAGGCGCGAAAGCGUGGGGAGCAAACAGGAUUAGAAACCCCGGUAGUCC